rnacentral:rRNA from 1 species
GCUGGUUGCCCGUGAACGAAUCUAAGUUCCCCCUUAAUUUUACUCUAAAAGACCUAACCCCCUCCUACGUAGUAAAUUAAGAGCAAUUUAAAGGAGGUACAGCUCCUUUAAAAAAGAACACAAUCUCCCCCAGAGGAUAAGUACCCCCCUUUAAAUUCUUGUAGGCCCUCAAGCAGCCAUCAGUAAAGAGUGCGUCAAAGCUCUACCCUAAAAAAAUCUAGAAACUCAUACGACUCCCUCACCCAUAACGGGCUAACCUAUAGAAAUAGGAGAAUUAAUGCUAGAAUAAGUAACUAAGGGAUUCCUUCUAAAGCACAAAUUUACAUACUACAUUAUUAACAGACCUACCAUAUACCAAAACUACUACAAGAUAAAAUAUUACACAACUCUGUUAAACCAACCCAGGUGUGCCUAAUUAGAAAGAUUUAAACCUGUAAAAGGAACUAGGCAAACCCAAGGCCCGACUGUUUACCAAAAACACAGCCUUCAGCGGACCAAGUAUUGAAGGUGAUGCCUGCCCAGUGACACAAAGUUCAACGGCCGCGGUAUCCUAACCGUGCAAAGGUAGCGCAAUCAAUUGUCUCAUAAAUCGAGACUUGUAUGAAUGGCCAAACGAGGUCUUAACUGUCUCUUACAGGUAAUCAGUGAAAUUGAUCUCCCCGUGCAAAAGCAGGGAUACAUCCAUAAGACGAGAAGACCCUGUGGAACUUAAAAACCAGCAGCCACUCCAAACCAAAUCUAACCCCACCAGGCUCACUCAAAAAUAAUCUGGCUCGCAUUUUUUCGGUUGGGGCGACCUUGGAGAAAAACAGAUCCUCCAAAAAUAAGACCACAUAUCUUAACCUAGACCAACCACUCUAAGUACUAAUAGUAACCAGACCCAGCAUAGCUGAUUAAUGAACCAAGCUACCCCAGGGAUAACAGCGCAAUCCCCCUCAAGAGCCCAUAUCGACAGGGGGGUUUAC